rnacentral:tRNA from 1 species
GCCUGGGUGGCUCAGUCGGUUGAGUGUCUGACUUCGGCUCAGGUCACGAUCUCGCGGUUUGUGAGUUCGAGCCCCGCGUCAGGCC